rnacentral:rRNA from 1 species
UACGUAGGGUGCAGGCGUUAAUCGGAAUUACUGGGCGUAAAGCGUGCGCAGGCGGUUUGCUAAGACAGAUGUGAAAUCCCCGGGCUUAACCUGGGAACUGCGUCUGAUACUGGACGGCUUGAGUAUGGGAGAGGGAUGUAGAAUUCCAGGUGUAGCGGUGAAAUGCGUAGAUAUCUGGAGGAAUACCGGUGGCGAAGGCGGCAUCCUGGACCAUUACUGACGCUGAGGCGCGAAAGCUAGGGGAGCAAACGGG